GGACACGGUGGCUUAGUGGUCAGAACGUCUGCCUCACACGCCUGUGGCUGGGGUUCGAACCCCGCUUCCG